rnacentral:rRNA from 1 species
UACGUAGGGUGCGAGCGUUAAUCGGGAUUACUGGGCGUAAAGCGUGCGCAGGCGGUUCGUUGUGUCGGCGGUGAAAGCCCCGGGCUCAACCUGGGAAUGGCCGUUGAAACUGGCGAACUGGAGUGUGGCAGAGGGGGGUGGAAUUCCGCGUGUAGCAGUGAAAUGCGUAGAGAUGCGGAGGAACACCGAUGGCGAAGGCAGCCCCCUGGGCUGACACUGACGCUCAGGCACGAAAGCGUGGGGAGCAAACAGG